GGCUGCCGAAUUCAAACAGACCCCGCGACUUCUCUAUAAAAAGAGAUUCUGUCUUCUCCUAUAUUACUCCAUUGUCGAGAAUCCCUCCGAUCACCAUCAAUUUUUGCUAUGAUUUUCCCAGGUGUUCUAUUGAGUUUCUUGCCAAGUUUCUUGCAAUUCAGGUAACUAACCUCAAAUCCCUGUUUCACCUUCUUCAUUCUAGGGC
rnacentral:lncRNA from 1 species